rnacentral:rRNA from 1 species
UACGGGGGGAGCAAGCGUUUGUUCGGAUUUACUGGGCGUAAAGGGCGCGUAGGCGGCCACCGCAAGUCGACUGUGAAAUCUCCGGGCUUAACCCGGAAAGGUCAGCCGAUACUGCGGGGCUAGAGUGCAGAAGGGGCAACUGGAAUUCUCGGUGUAGCGGUGAAAUGCGCAGAUAAUCAGGAGGAACACCGGUGGCGAAGGCGGGUCUCUGGGCCGAUACUGACGCUGAGGAGCGAAAGCGUGGGGAGCGAACAGG